rnacentral:RNase_P_RNA from 1 species
UUUUGGGGCCUGGUCGUCGCUCCGAGUUCUUUGAUCCCAAGGCGCGGGUAACGCCGCGCCCGUAUUGGAAGUUCGGAGAGGAAAGUCCGGACACCGCAGGGCAGGAUGCCGCACGAGCUUCACCGCAAGUGCGGGCGCCAAGCGUCAAGGCUUGGUGACGGACAGUGUCACAGAGAACAAACCGCCCGGUUCGAUCCGCCGCAAGGCGGCUCGCUCAGGGUAAGGGUGAAAAGGUGGGGUAAGAGCCCACCGCGCCAACGGCGACGUUGGCGGCACGAAAAACCCCUUCCGGUGCAAGGCAAAAUAGGUGGCUGGACGGCCCGUCCCAUAGCCACGGGUAUGCCGCACCCUCCUUCGCUCCGCGCAAGCGGAGCUGCGGAGGGCAGGUCUGUCGCAAGGCGGACGUUGAGAGAAAUGACGGCCGAAUCCCGCGCAAGCGGGAGGAACAUAAUCCGGCUUACCGGCCCCAAAACUAG